UACGUAGGGGGCUAGCGUUGUCCGGAUUUAUUGGGCGUAAAGAACGUGUAGGCGGCCUGACAGGUCUGCUGUGAAAACUCGAGGCUCAACCUCGAGAUGUCGGCGGAAACCGUCUGGCUAGAGUCCGGAAGAGGAGAGUGGAAUUCCUGGUGUAGCGGUGAAAUGCGCAGAUAUCAGGAAGAACACCUAUGGCGAAGGCAGCUCUCUGGGACGGUACUGACGCUGAGACGCGAAAGCGUGGGGAGCGAACAGG
rnacentral:rRNA from 1 species